GACGAACGCUGGCGGCGUGCCUAAUACAUGCAAGUCGAGCGAAGUUUUUCUGGUGCUUGCACCGGAAAAACUUAGCGGCGAACGGGUGAGUAACACGUAAAGAACCUGCCUCAUAGACUGGGACAACUAUUGGAAACGAUAGCUAAUACCGGAUAACAGCAUUAACUGCAUGGUUGAUGUUUAAAAGUUGGUUUUGCUAACACUAUGAGAUGGCUUUGCGGUGCAUUAGCUAGUUGGUGGGGUAAAGGCCUACCAAGGCGACGAUGCAUAGCCGACCUGAGAGGGUGAUCGGCCACACUGGGACUGAGACACGGCCCAGACUCCUACGGGAGGCAGCAGUAGGGAAUCUUCCGCAAUGGGCGAAAGCCUGACGGAGCAACGCCGCGUGAGUGAAGAAGGAUUUCGGUUCGUAAAGCUCUGUUGUUAGGGAAGAAUGAUUGUGUAGUAACUAUACACAGUAGGGACGGUACCUAACCAGAAAGCCACGGCUAACUACGUGCCAGCAGCCGCGGUAAUACGUAGGUGGCAAGCGUUGUCCGGAAUUAUUGGGCGUAAAGCGCGCGCAGGUGGUUUAAUAAGUCUGAUGUGAAAGCCCACGGCUCAACCGUGGAGGGUCAUUGGAAACUGUUAAACUUGAGUGCAGGAGAGAAAAGUGGAAUUCCUAGUGUAGCGGUGAAAUGCGUAGAGAUUAGGAGGAACACCAGUGGCGAAGGCGGCUUUUUGGCCUGUAACUGACACUGAGGCGCGAAAGCGUGGGGAGCAAACAGG
rnacentral:rRNA from 1 species